rnacentral:lncRNA from 1 species
CUUGAACAUUUUUGUAAAUAGCAGUGAAAUAAAAACGUUGACAUUUCUGGAUCAUCCAAGAACUUAAAUUAUUUUCACAAAAAUAAAGAAAUGUACAAUUAUUUUUUCCCAAAGCCAUUCUACAACGAUUUUCAAGUUUUCAUACAACAUUUUGGAAGCAAACUUUACAAACAACUGACAUUGGCAAUUUUGUAAUAUGUCUUAUUUCACACAUUUUGAUUGGUCUAACUGUAUGCUAUUUUGUGAUACUAAAGAUUUCCUCCCGCCCAGACCAUUGGUGUCAAAAAGUAUUUUUAGCCAAAAAAGUCAUAUACGACAUUUUAGAAGCCCAGCGACGUUAUAUU